ACGGAGCAAUCCUGUGGCGAGUGGCGAACGGGUGAGUAAUAUAUCGGAACGUGCCCAGGUCUGGGGGGAUAACGUAGCGAAAGCUACGCUAAUACCGCAUACGAUCUAUGGAUGAAAGCGGGGAUCGCAAGACCUCGCGCGAUUGGAGCGGCCGAUAUCAGAUUAGGUAGUUGGUGAGGUAAAGGCUCACCAAGCCGACGAUCUGUAGCUGGUCUGAGAGGACGACCAGCCACACUGGGACUGAGACACGGCCCAGACUCCUACGGGAGGCAGCAGUGGGGAAUUUUGGACAAUGGGCGCAAGCCUGAUCCAGCAAUGCCGCGUGCAGGAUGAAGGCCUUCGGGUUGUAAACUGCUUUGUACGGAACGAAACGGUGAGCUCUAAUACAGUUUGCUAAUGACGGUACCGUAAGAAUAAGCACCGGCUAACUACGUG
rnacentral:rRNA from 1 species